AGUGAACGCUGGCGGUAUGCCUAACACAUGCAAGUCGAACGGCAGCACAGUAAGAGCUUGCUCUUACGGGUGGCGAGUGGCGGACGGGUGAGGAAUACAUCGGAAUCUACUUUUUCGUGGGGGCUAACGUAGGGAAACGUACGCUAAUACCGCAUACGACCUACGGGGGAAAGCAGGGGAUCUUUGGACCUUGCGCUAUGGAAUGAGCCGAUGUCGGAUUAGCUAGUUGGCGGGGUAAAGGCCCACCAAGGCGACGAUCCGUAGCUGGUCUGAGAGGAUGAACAGCCAGACUGGAUGUGAGACACGGUCCAGACUCCUACGGGAGGCAGCAGUGGGGAAUAUUGGACAAUGGGCGCAAGCCUGAUACAGCCAUACCGCGUGGGUGAAGAAGGCCUUCGGGUUGGAAAGCCCUUUUGUUGGGAAAGAAAAGCAGCAGGUUAAUACCCCGCUGUUCUGACGGUACCCAAAGAAUAAGCACCGGCUAACUUCGUG
rnacentral:rRNA from 1 species